GAUGAACGCUGGCGGCGUGCCUAAUACAUGCAAGUCGAGCGAACGGACGAGAAGCUUGCUUCUCUGAUGUUAUCAGCGGACGGGUGAGUAACACGUGGAUAACCUACCUAUAAGACUGGGAUAACUUCGGGAAACCGGAGCUAAUACCGGAUAAUAUUUUGAACCGCAUGGUUCAAAAGUGAAAGACGGUCUUGCUGUCACUUAUAGAUGGAUCCGCGCUGCAUUAGCUAGUUGGUAAGGUAACGGCUUACCAAGGCAACGAUGCAUAGCCGACCUGAGAGGGUGAUCGGCCACACUGGAACUGAGACACGGUCCAGACUCCUACGGGAGGCAGCAGUAGGGAAUCUUCCGCAAUGGGCGAAAGCCUGACGGAGCAACGCCGCGUGAGUGAUGAAGGUCUUCGGAUCGUAAAACUCUGUUAUUAGGGAAGAACAUAUGUGUAAGUAACUGUGCACAUCUUGACGGUACCUAAUCAGAAAGCCACGGCUAACUACGUG
rnacentral:rRNA from 1 species